rnacentral:lncRNA from 1 species
UGGUAGGAGGGUUAGCAUUAGUACCACAAAUGAUAUAACCAUGCCAAAGAGGUACACUCUUGGAAUAUAGCUAAUAAUCCUUUGUUAUGAUCAUAAAACACUUACUACAAGCAUCACAAAGGACUUGGCUAAGAUAGACAUCAAGGAAAGAGGAGUGCAACAAAAGACCAUCAUAUAUAUCAAUAAGCCAAGGUUGUUCACAUUUGAAAUACAUCCAUGGGUCCUUUGUGUGUGACAUGAAAAUCUUAGCAUGAAUGGAACAAAGGAGGUGGUUUUGGAAAAUAU